CAGUAGAUUGAAGCAUUUCCAUGGAAAAAGCAGUUGUGAAUAGUCCUCUGUUAUGCUAGAAAGUGUUUGUUUUGGUGUGUUCAUCACCUUCACAUGCCUUGUACGAACAUAAUCCAAGUAUGAAUUUUUGUUCUUUUUUUCCUUUUUUUUAAAUUCCAUUUUUUGACAAUCAAGUGCAUUGUGCAAAAUUUUCAAUCUGUGGAUUAUGGGCCAAAUUACAGUUAGACUAUAGUGGAAGCCUUGUGGGCACAACCACCAUGCAAAAUUACCUGUCACUCAUCUCAUUUUUUUCUU
rnacentral:misc_RNA from 1 species